CCGAAGUUGCAGCGUGGAUUCUCCUCACUUGCAUCUGGCAGUUGCCCAUUAGAAUAAUCAGCCCCAAAUGAAGCAGCGUGGAGGCCUGUUGGACGUGUGCAGCUAGAUGGAGCUGCUGGACCAAGCUAAAGAACUCUCUUGAUGAAGAAUGGUUGUUGUAUCUGCCUUGGGCCGUGAAGAGCUGCUACUGGAAGUGUACUGCUGCUGGGUCGUGUUCAAACUUCUUGGGCCACUUCUAAUGUGGGCGUUACCUUCUCUUCAAGACCGUGACAACAGCGUGAUGCCCUCUGUGUGAGCCUCCAAGGAUGGGCCAUGAAUCAUUGUGGAAUGAAUCUGCUGCUGGCUACUUCUUUUAUUUAAUUCAGCUAUCCAAUACAUGCAUGUGGGCCAUGGUGGUGCAGCAGGAGUGUGUUUUAAUGUGGGCUGCCCUUUAAUUUGCUGGCCGUGACAUGCCCAAGCUGGCCCAAGACGUGUGGAACGUGAAGCUGCUUGUGUCUGGACGGGUGCUACACUUCAAUGUUGAUGCUCCCUGCAGAUUAAAUUAUCCAUGGGCUCCGCUGCACCAUUUAUCUCCAAGCACAAAAAAAAAUGAAAUGUUGAUUCCUAAAGCAAACCCAUCAGUGCAUCUAACCAUCAAUAAUGACCACUUGCUUUGUUGGACCGUGGC
rnacentral:lncRNA from 1 species